CUCGCCAACCGAUGACUUCAUAUUAUUCCUUAAUGCUAUAAGAGUUAUGGAGUUUGUUUGUAGUGAAUAUUUUAUAUUUUCGCUCCUUAAAACAUUUUACUUUUUGUCCCUCUCGUUUCAGGGUAAAGAGUUAAGUGUUUUACCAUAUUAUGACGCGUGUUUGAUUUUGUAGACAAAAAACGAGAUUUUCGCACUUCGUUUUUAACCAGUGGUAUUUAAUUAAAAAUAUACACUUUACACUUUAUUUUUGGUUUUUUCUCGGAAAGUACCAAGACCUUUAUUUCAGGGUUCAAAAGAAACCUGUUUACCACAGAAAGCCACGUGAGCCUUUGCGCCCAACACUACUUCCAGUACCUAAAAUACACAACAUCAUACGACAUUGAAUAAACC